UGGUGUGGCGGGUAUCGAUCCCUGCCGUGCNGAAGCUAACGCAUUAAGCAUUCCGCCUGGGGAGUACGGUCGCAAGNCUGAAACUCAAAGGAAUUGACCGGGGGCCCGCACAAGCGGUGGAGCAUGUGGUUCAAUUCGACGCAACGCGAAGAACCUUACCCAGGCUUGAGCAGCCAGUGACCACUCCUGAAAAGGAGCUUCCGCAAGGACACUGNUAGAGGUGCUGCAUGGCUGUCGUCAGCUCGUGUCGUGAGAUGUUGGGUUAAGUCCCGCAACGAGCGCAACCCUUGUCUGCUGUUGCCAUCACGUUAUGGUGGGCACUCUGCAGAGACUGCCCGGUGAUAAACCGGAGGAAGGUGGGGAUGACGUCAAGUCAGCAUGGCCUUUAUGUNCUGGGGCUACACACGUGCUACAAUGGCAGAUACAAACCGUCGCGAGACCGCAAGGUGGAGCUAAUCGGAGAAAGUCUGUCUCAGUUCGGAUUGUCGGCUGCAACUCGCCGGCAUGAAGUUGGAAUCGCUAGUAAUCGCGGAUCAGCACGCCGCGGUGAAUACGUUCCCGGGCCUUGUACACACCGCCCGUCACAUCACGAAAGCCGGUUGUACUAGAAGUCGCCACACCAACCCGCAAGGGAGGGAGGCGCCUAAGGUAUGGNCGGUGAUUGGGGUGAAGUCGUAANCAAGGUACC
rnacentral:rRNA from 1 species